AGCAGUCGAGAAUUUUUCUCAAUGGGCGAAAGCCUGAAGGAGCGACGCCGCGUGGGGGAUGAAGGGUUUCGAUCCAUAAACCCCUGUCAUUUGUGAACAAUGUUUAUUCAUGAGUAAUGGAUGAAUUGAUAGUAACGAAAGAGGAAGGGACGGCUAACUCUGUGCCAGCAGCCGCGGUAAUACAGAGGUCCCAAGCGUUGUUCGGAUUCACUGGGCGUAAAGGGUGCGUAGGUGGUGGGGUAAGUUUGGUGUGAAAUCUCCGAGCUCAACUCGGAAAUGGCAUUGAAUACUAUUCCGCUAGAGGUUUGGAGGGGGGACUGGAAUUCUCGGUGUAGCAGUGAAAUGCGUAGAUAUCGAGAGGAACACCAGUGGCGAAGGCGAGUCCCUGGACAACACCUGACACUGAGGCACGAAAGCUAGGGGAGCAAACAGGAUUAGAUACCCUGGUAGUCCUAGCCCUAAACGGUGCACGUUUGCUGUAAGAGGAAUCGACCCCUUUUGUGGCGUAGCUAACGCGAUAAACGUGCCGCCUGGGGAGUACGGUCGCAAGAUUAAAACUCAAAGAAAUUGACGGGGGCCUGCACAAGCGGUGGAGUAUGUGGCUUAAUUCGAUUCAACGCGAAGAACCUUACCUGGCCUUGACAUGCAAGUAGUAGAACCAUGAAAGUGGGACGAGCCCGCAAGGGAAGCUUGCACAGGUGCUGCAUGGCUGUCGUCAGCUCGUGUCGUGAGAUGUUGGGUUAAGUCCCGCAACGAGCGCAACCCCUAUGUCCUGUUGCCACCCGAACGAGAGUUUGGAGCACUCUGGACAGACUGCCUCGCUUAAGCGAGGAGGAAGGUGGGGAUGACGUCAAGUCAGUAUGGCCCUUACGGCCAGGGCUGCACACGUACUACAAUGCUCGAUACAAAGGGAAGCAAGACCGCAAGGUGGAGCAAAUCUCAUAAAAUCGAGCCCAGUUCAGAUUGUCGUCUGCAACUCGACGACAUGAAGCCGGAAUCGCUAGUAAUGGCGCAUCAGCUACGGCGCCGUGAAUACGUUCCCAGGCCUUGUACACACCGCCCGUCACAUCAUGAAAGCCGGUUGUACCCGAAGUCCGUGAGUUGACCGCAAGGAAACAGCGGCCGAAGGUAUGGCUGGUGAUUGGGAUGAAGUCGGAACAAGGUAGCCGUAGGGGAACCUGCGGCUG
rnacentral:rRNA from 1 species